GGAGAACACAAGAAAGAUAUGGAAUAUUGAAGAAUGACCACAGCCUUAUCCAUGAAAGCUCUAGAAUCUAACAUCCACGUUAAAUGGGACAAAGCUAAAGUCAUAAAAACUUUGAAAAAAGAAAAGCAUGCUACCUUAGCUGAGGCCUUGGAAAUUUACGCUAGUGAAAGAACAAACAACCUAAUAAACAUUAAUCAACCGACUAAUGAAUUACCCGCCUCAUGGAAAUAUCUCUUAGGAAAAGAAAACCCCAGUGAUGGAUGAAGAAUGGCCCUUUGAGUUAACGGAAUACCAUUUUAUGGAGGAUAAUGAUACUAUGCGAAUCUGGAGACGCGCGAAACCUAAGAACAGUCUCCCGACACAAUUAACUAUAUGCUAUGGUUGUACAGAUAGCACUUAUUUAUUUUAUUUAUUUUGUAUUUAAGCCGUGUUUUGUUUAUCAGUUAGGCUUUGUUUUGUGCUUUAUGUCUGUGUUGUGUAUCCUUGUCUUGCUGUAUUUACGCG
rnacentral:lncRNA from 1 species